AAUUGUAUUCUCCCUCAAUGUAGUUGAGGUGUCAAAAUACAUCAACAUUUCAAGCUCUUCUCUCUCCUUUUCUCAGUCAUCGUGUCAAAAGAAAAUGAGGGCAUCAAAACUCAAAUCCUUGAGUUGUCAAAUUUCCAAUGCUUAAUCUGAUGCUUAAGUUUGUAACUAGCAAAUCCAUCUCAAAUUCUUCUUAUUGAGCACUAGAAAAUUAAAGAAACCCCAAUUCUCAGUUUUCAUUCUCGCAUCCUCGCACUCACUCAAAUUGUUUGUGCCGUUAAGCUUUCGACGCUGUCGUCGGGUCUCACCGGAAGUCUGCAGGUGCUAUUGCGGGCUGGGCUGCUGUCCUCCUUCCUUUUUUCAUCAGUUUUGUCGGUGUUGUCCCAGUUAUUCCACUGUUGCUGCAGCAUUUUUCUCUCCUCUGCUUUCGCAGUGCUGCUGCCGCUGCCGUGCUGCCGCCACCAGCGUUCUGCUGGUGUUGUCGGUGUUGCUCUGCGUGGUGGUGUUGUGUCAGCUUGCUGCUGCCGUUGUACUGUACUUCUCUCGUUUAUAAGCAUAAGCUAAGUUUCUUCAUUCUCUUGUUGAUUCAAGGAAUUCAACUCCUUGCAAAGGGGUUUUAUAUUCUGAUUUUAUAAAUAAGUUCAGUUUUGAAUCUUAUUGUUGAAUAGCAAAAUCAGUUUUGUUGCAAGAUAAUAUCAUCUAAGCUAAACUUAUCCAACUAUAUUUAUUUAUGAAAACCUAAAUUAAUUAGUUUAUGUAUCUAUUAUUAUUAUUCUGAUUUGAAGAUAUAAACGAGAUUCUUGUUAAUGACUUUAUCAUGGUAUGAAUUUCUUAAUCAAUUUCAUAAUUUUAAAGUGGAGAUUUUAGUGAUUAAUUACUCAGAUGGUCUUAGUUAUGAUAUUGGAAUAAGUUUAAGGAGGGAUUGGUAUCAAAGGGUUUUAUUAGAAUAUCUUAUGUUGUUGAUAAUUGUUGGUAUCAUUUAGAAAAUCAUAAUUAGCUCAUAAGGUUUAAGAUUGAUUAUUAUCUAUUUGAAGGAUGGUAAUUGAAUAAGAUUAGUUUGAGAAUUGUUGUUAAUUAUGCUAUUUUGUUGAGGUGAUUAUUGUGGAGUUCGAGUUGGAGUUGAAGAUCCAGAUUAUCAUAAAUGUUCAUGGAGGUUGCAUAUAGUUGUUCUUGAGUUGAGGUUUGUGUUGGGAGCUCAUAGUGGAUCGAAAGUAAAGAGUUGGUCAUUAAAUUGUAGAUGUCCUAGUGAUUCAAAGGUUGUAUUUGGAAGUAUUCAAGUUCUUAGUAAAGAGUUUAAUAUUCUAUUGUUUUGGGAAUCGAGUAAGGUAUUAUGUAAUGUGUUAUUUAGUUUUGAAGUAAUUAUGUUAUGGGCCUAUAACCCACAGGUCCAGGAUCGUUUUAUAGUUAUGGUUUCCGCUGCGAGUGAAUAUAAUUCGAGAUUAUUAAGCGUUAA